CAUUUGGCCGGAAAACAAUCUGACAUUCCACCUUGAGAUGUUAUUUGAGAGUUGUUCCAUCCUUAAAUGUAAAGCAAGGAUUUAAAACAGUGUGAGAAAAGGUUAACAUUGUCGCCUAUGGGAAAUGUAUUGGUGGACUGUAUACCCCAUAUAUAUUGAGUACGUCUAUUGGUUCAUGGUGAUACAGGAAAACUUCAAGGUUCCUGCAGAUGGUGUUUAAAACUAUUGGCCAGUGAACACAAACCCAUUUAAUUAUAUUUUGAAUCUUCACCAGGAGAAAAAAGAUGGCAGUACUUCUAAUGCAAGCAGCUACUAGGGAAGAUUUAAUGAAGGAAGAUGAGGAAGUGGAGAAAAAGCU